GCGGCGGCCGGCUGCAGGGCGGAGCUGGCUUUGGCAGAGCCUGAGCCCGAGCCCAGCCCGCAGACCUCGGGCGAUGCCUCCUGCCAGGGUGCGGCGCCUGCCCAGGGGAGCACCGGAGAGCCAAGCACGGAAUAUUUUCCCUUUCACCUUCCUUACGUUCCCCCACAUACAUUCUCCACGUGAGGAGGGGACCGUAACGAUCUCAGCAACCAAGGGCUGCGUUUUCAGGUGUUCAGAGCGAUGGGCAAAACACCCAGAGAGCAGGGGAACUGCCCCAGCUGAGCCUGUCAGCUCCAGGGCGGCAGCUGCAGCCUGGCAGCGGGUAAGGACGCUGUGCGAGACAAGAAGCGCUGCUAAUGCUGAGGAUGUGCGGUCAGUCCUGCCAAACCCCAGCAUUAAAAAGUCAUGAGCUCAUCCUAAAAAAAAACACAAUACAAAACCCCAUACAAAAAAGGAGAUGGUUUUGUUUUGUUUUGUUCUGGAAAGUUCACAAGCAUCAGGCUUUGUCCACCUUGGCUUGUCCUUUGUCAGCUCUGAAUGUUGGUUACACGCACGUUGGUUCAGUGCCCCCUUUUGGGGGGGCAGUCGGGGCCUGGCAGCAGAAGGGUGCCCUGCUCCUGCCCUUUCUGGGAGAGUUCACGUUUCGCAGCCCUCGGUGGCUGUGGCUUGGAGGGGCUCGUCGGGAAACCCACAAACCGGCUGCAAGCGAGUGCAGGCUGGGUGAAUAACGCAGCCAGAGGACGGCCCGCUCCCUUGCAAAGAGAAAUGAAGAUGCUCCAAGUGGCAGUGGGGAAAAGGAGCCCAGAGAGGACUGUGCGAGAGGGAUGGAGGGAAGAUGAGCCCAGCAUCACCAUGGUGGAGACAGUGGGGUGUAAGGAGGAGCAGGGAAGGGCUGAGAAGGCAGCGAAGGCCCCUGGAGAAGGGGAGCAGAGAGCAGAGAAGGAGGUUUACAGUAAAAAGGACAUCCAGAUCGUGUUCUUCCACAGCACGGAAAUUACCCCAAAGACUUUAGGCUCCUGUGGCAUUCCAGAUAAAUAUAGCUGCCGGCCGUGUGGAUAAAUAUAGCUGCUGUGCACACUGCGGUGUUGUGAGCUGGCAGAGCUGCCCCCACGCUCCGCUUCCCAUGCUGGUUUAAGGGCUCCUUCUGCUCCUCGUUCCUCCUCCAGUGAAUGCCGGCUGGUGCCAAAGCCCCUUCCCAGCAGUGUCCAGAGCAAAAACCCCCCAACCUCGUGGGUGGGAGACACAUGAAGGAAUUCACAUCUCUUUUUUUCCGGGAAAAGCAGGGCCUGGACUCGGGGCUGCCACCAGAGGGUGCAGCCCGCUCAGCCGUGGGGACAUGGGAGGAGGUGUGCAAGUCCUGCAUGCAGCACCGGGCACCCUCCCCUCGGUCACUGGAAGGGCGCAGAGAGUGGGAAGAAGGGUAACAAAGGGGUUGAAAGCAUCUACACAGAGGGACUCACCAGCCUGGAAGAGAGCUGAGAGAGCGGGGAUGGGACAGCCAACAAUAAAGCCGGGAGCAGAGGAAGGUCCUUGGUAGGAAAGCCCAUGGCCUCAGCGGAAAUAAGCCAGGGCAGGUUGGUACUUUUUGUUACGCAGGACUUGGCUGGAGGAUGCUAAAACCUUUCAGUGGGGGAAAAAAUAACUUUGGUUAAUUUGGGGAAGAUAAAUCCUCCAGAGCUGCUAAACACGUUCUGGCCAGGAAAUCUGGGAGCUACGAAUGUCCAGAGGCUGGGAAGCACCCCCCGGGUAGUAGCGUUCCAGGCCGGCUCCCUGUCCUCUCUCCUCGUACCUCCGUGUACACUGACCUGUGAGGAGGCUGCUGGAAUAGCCUGGUGAUGGCCGGCUUUGGGAAAGGAUAAUUCAGUACAAAAAUUGGAAAAAACCAAACCCGUCUCCAUUCCUAAAGGGGUGAACUCAGCAAUCAAAACCUGAUUUAAGCUUUUCUCUCAAAUUACAUGGACAGGCUUGCUCUGCAUCCUGUGUGUGUGAUGCCAACCCCUUCCCGGCAGGGUUGGCCUUACCUGCAUAACUCCCCUGGCAUUUCAUCCCGCUGGAGCGAAGCUGGAUCAAAGGCUCAGUCCUACAAGGUGGGGAGGCUGAGGAUGAGUCGCCACUUCCCAUGUGCCACUGCCCUUUCCCCUUUCCCCUGCACCUUUGUGCCCACCUCUGGCUUUUACAGAGGCAGUGUUUUGCUUUCCAUGCCAGGCAUUUGCAUAUAUUUUACAGCACAUACCCACUGCUGAGAGAAAUUGAUUGCUUCAAGAGUACUCCCCUAUUUUCCCCUCUCGCGUGAUGUUUCCCUCCUUCAGGUAUAUUUGCACCAGACCUGCCACAAAGAAAAAGAUCUCGUUCCUGCCCUAACUCUGCUGCUCACAAGCCUUCAUCCUUGUGAAUGCCUUCAUCCUGCCUCCAAGACAAAGGCAAAGCCUUCCCAGGCAUUGCCAGUGGUGGGUUUGGUUGUCCUCUGCUUGCCUUCAAAUUGAGACAAAGCCACUGGCAAGGACAGCCCUCCACAACAUUGUUCCAGGCAACGAGGGCUAUCGUCAGGUGAAUCUGGUUGUACACCAGCAGGCUGACUUUCCAAAGAAGUGUAAAAAAAAACUUCCGGGCCAGCGAGUUGGAGAUGCACCAACAAGCAGGAUGAGGUGUGGCCCCCGCUCCCACAAGCCAUAACCACCAGUGGGGGUCAUGAUGGCUGCAUCCAGCUUAUGUCAGGCUUUGGGGACAGAUGGCAACACAGCAGCCAAGGGUUGUCAGGAGCAGUGACCCAAACGUCUUGCUGGUACACAAAUAAGUCUAUUGGUUAAUCUUAUGGAUUGACUGUAAGUCAAUCAUCUCACUCCAUAAAUAGUGGACAGCCCAGGGCCGUUGGGCUCUCCUGCACGGCAGUGGGCUGCACGCCAGGAUGUCCCCUUGAGUUGGCACCCCUCAAGGUUACUCCUUGAGGUUGAGAGAUUCGUUGCCACAGCAGAUCCUUGUGAAGUGCACGUCAUCCACGACACAAGGUCAGUGGCAAAAACAGUGCCAAAAGCAAACAGGGGAGGUAAAAGGAGCCUUUGUAAAAAUCUCGCAUCCAACUCCAGGCGGAUGGGAAAAAACCCCGAACGCUCAAACCUGCGGUCGGAGGGAGCCUUCUCCAUGCAGGUUUAAUGCAACAUCAGCCAGAGCUAAUAGAUACCCUUCUUGGAACGAUAAGUCAAAGGAUGGAUACGGUGGUGCUGCAUGGAAAGAGCUUAGGGUACCACAAGUGCCCCUGCUCUGUGCUCACCUGAACCCCCCGUAAGCCUGUGUCUCCUUGCCCUGCCCACCAUGAGCAUCAGGGCAGGUUAUCCUCUUCAGCUUUGCAGUAGCUUUUGACAGACUGGAAGAGCAUUAACAUUCCUCCCUUCGGUCUGCUCCGGAGAGUCGCUUUCCCUCCUGGGACAGCCUGAAAGCCCCCGUGCCUCGCGGCCAAGUCUGUGCAGCUGGAAGGGUCCCGUUUGUCCCCCUGCUGACAAUGUCUCCGCUGUAAAACCAAAGGAGAUGUCUCCCAGCUGCAGCUCUUCCUGGCCUCAGUGCAGAGGGAAAAACAUCCCUCAAACACAGAAAAUAAACAGAUGAUUUGGGACUUAACAAUGAAUGCGGUCAAACUCUCUGCGGAGCAAUCGCUGUGACUGUGCGUCUGGCUUAGCAGCUAUCUCUGCAAAACCCCAGGGUGAGCGUGCUCGUCCUCUUCUGUAUCGGCGGCCUCACGCGCCGCAUCCCGCUGCCCGCAGACGCCGCCUGCGCUUCGUCCCGCGACGGCCCCGGCGGCAGCGCUGCAGCCCUCCAGCUGCGCAGCCCGAGCCUGCGCUUCAGGGAAAGGGUAUUUUUGUGUCUUCUGGAGGUGAGGUGGGGGAUUGCUCUCUGCUAGACAAAUGUGGCCUGUCCUUGGCACCCAUCCCGAGGGUCCCCGUUUUGCCCAGGUGAUCUGGUCACCCCCACGCGCUUCAGAGAUCUCUGCCACGGCCGGGGUGGAAUUGGGUCAGCCCAGGGCAAAGAAUUGCCUGGAAAAAGCAAUUCAGACCAGUUCCUGGCUGCUUUUAAACAUCAACACUAGCUAUUUUGUACCUUAUACAUAAAAUUUACUUUUAGCAAAAAAUCAACAAGGCCCCAUUUUAUUUAUUCUCUCCCCCAAAAACCUCAUUUUUCAU